CCCGGGCCGGGUCGCACAGCUCCUGCGACACACUUUCAAACCGGCCCCGCCGUCCGUUACGUCUCGAGACCUCUCGUAAUGAAAGUACUCGGUUCAGAACAGGAAUAAUAAUGUGAAGCAAAUGAAAACGAAGGCGUCUAGGCAAGGCGUGCACCGUCCGGCCUGGCGCUUUCCAAUUUCAGUCCCCACCAUAGCGGAAACUACAGGGUUCCUUUUGGACAGCUGCAAGCGUUGGGAAGCUCAGAGCAGGCGAGUCCCUGCAGCUGUGGAGGGUGCAGAGUGGGCAGGAUUUUCCGGAGAAAAAAAGGGCGAGGCGGCUCCUCAGUCGGCAGGAGUGGGUUCUGCACCGGGUGGGGAGGUGAGGCCCAGUCCAGCCCCGACCCCUGAGGAGAGGCCGGGCCCUCCCGCUUGGGCUGGGGGGACGCACCCGCCCCGCCCCUCAGACCGGGCCUUGAGGACACCCGGCCGAGCUUCGAGCUUCGCAGCCUCCUCGCUCAGCGGCCGGCGCAACGCCCUGCCCGCCCUGCCCGACAUCCGGGGCG
rnacentral:lncRNA from 1 species